CCCCCCCAGUCCGACGCCCCUGCUCUGAACUCUGGUGUUACUCAUAUUAAGAACACUGAUUUGAUUCAGUGGGAGAUUGGAUGGGAAGAGAUUUUAAUGGCUGAAAUUAAUAAUUUGGCCGGCAAAGUCACUGUAUAUGAUGUUUCUGAUGGAAGAUUCAGAGGCAGACUGAAUGUGGAUCAUCAAACUGUGGAUAUUAUAGAAAAAAGAUCAACGGUGUGAUAGAGAAUAUGCAAGUUGCUACCCAAAAUGAAAUAUCAGUGAAGGAGGGGGAUUCAGUCACUCUGAACCCUGGUUUUAUUCUGGAUGAUUGGGGUUUUAUUCAGUGGUAUUUUGACCUAAAUAACAAAUUCAAAGUACUGAUCGAUUCAGUCAUGCAAUAUGAAGAUGCUGCUAAUGGGAGAUAUAUAAACAGAUUUAAGUUGGACAAAAAGAAUGGAACUCUGACCAUCAGAAACAUCACAACUGAAGAUGCCGGAUUGUAUUUACUAGAUACCCAAUAUGUGUUGAUUCUUUUCAAUGUUACUGUCUACGGUGAGUUACAGUAUCAGUUUUAUAUAUUCAAGUUUUAUAGUAGAUCUAGUAUUUAGAUGUUGAUUUAUCCUUAUAAUUAUUAAAUCCAUAUUUAUUACAAUUCAUUUACAUUUCUUAGUAGCUGAUCUUUUUUCCCCCCUCAGAUUCUGUAAAGUAACUACUGUCAUUCUUCUGGUUUAUGACAUCAGAUCCAGAAGAGCUGAACUAGAUCAAGCACAGAUUCACACACCAAGUACAUGAUUGAUGAAAAUUCUCAUUAAAAUUUUUUUUCAAUCAUUAAUUAAUUUUCAAUUAUUUGUGAUGGCUUUUUAUGUUGUAGGCGGUUCAUUUCCAACCUAGAAGAUAUAGAAGAUAGCACUUUUUUAUAUUCAUAGAAACAGAUAAAAGUUUAAUCCAAAAAGUAUUGUGGGCCAGUUUACACUCCAUACUCAAAAUAACUAUUACUGAAGUUUAUGUUACAUAACUUUUAAAUCUAAAACUAAAAAUUAAAUAAGCACUCAAAUAAAUAAAUAAACAAACAUCUUUACUGAAUAA
ensembl:lncRNA